UACGUAGGGUGCAAGCGUUAAUCGGAAUUACUGGGCGUAAAGCGUGCGCAGGCGGUGAUGUAAGACAGAUGUGAAAUCCCCGGGCUCAACCUGGGAACUGCAUUUGUGACUGCAUGGCUAGAGUACGGUAGAGGGGGAUGGAAUUCCGCGUGUAGCAGUGAAAUGCGUAGAUAUGCGGAGGAACACCGAUGGCGAAGGCAAUCCCCUGGACCUGUACUGACGCUCAUGCACGAAAGCGUGGGGAGCAAACAGG
rnacentral:rRNA from 1 species